rnacentral:rRNA from 1 species
AUUGAACGCUGGCGGCAUGCCUUACACAUGCAAGUCGAACGGUAACGCGGGGCAACCUGGCGACGAGUGGCGAACGGGUGAGUAAUGCAUCGGAACGUGCCCAGUAGUGGGGGAGUAGCCCGGCGAAAGCCGGAUUAAUACCGCAUACGACCUACGGGUGGAAAGCGGGGGACGUCGCAAGAGCCUCGCGCUAUUGGAGCGGCCGAUGUCAGAUUAGGUAGUUGGUGGGGUAAAAGCCUACCAAGCCGACGAUCUGUAGCUGGUCUGAGAGGACGACCAGCCACACUGGGACUGAGACACGGCCCAGACUCCUACGGGAGGCAGCAGUGGGGGAAUUUUGGACAAUGGGCGCAAGCCUGAUCCAGCCAUGCCGCGUGCAGGAAGAAGGCCUCGGUUGUAACGACUUUGUCAGGAAGAAACGCGUCUGGGCGUAAUACCCU